rnacentral:rRNA from 1 species
AUUGAACGCUGGCGGCAGGCCUAACACAUGCAAGUCGAACGAGUGGCGGACGGGUGAGUAAUGUCUGGGAAACUGCCCGCUGGAGGGGGAUAACUACUGGAAACGGUAGCUAAUACCGCAUACCAUCGGAUGUGCCCAGAUGGGAUUAGCUAGUAGGUGGGGUAACGGCUCACCUAGGCGACGAUCCCUACCUGGUCUGGGAGGAUGACCGGCGACACUGGAACUGAGACACGGUCCAGAGGCCUACGGGAGGGAGCAGUGGGGAAUAUGGCACAAUGGGCGCAAGCCUGAUGCAGCCAUGCCGCGUGUAUGAAAGAGGCCUUCGGGUUGUAAAGUACUUUCAGCGAGGAGGCGUUACUCGCAGAAGAAGCAUCGGCUAACUACGUGCCAGCAGCCGCGGUAAUUC